CAAUAGCGUAUAUUUAAGUUGCUGCAGUUAAAAAGCUCGUAGUUGGAUUUCGGGUGGGAAUGGCCGGUCCGCCGUUUCGGUGUGCACUUGCUACGCCCACCUUGCUGCCGGGGACGUGCUCUUGAGUUCACGCUCGGGACACGGAGUCGGCGAGGUUACUUUGAGUAAAUUAGAGUGUUCAAAGCAGGCCUACGCUCUGAAUACAUUAGCAUGGAAUAACACGAUAGGACUCUGGCCUAUCUUGUUGGUCUGUAGGACCGGAGUAAUGAUUAAGAGGGACAGUCGGGGGCAUUCGUAUUUCAUUGUCAGAGGUGAAAUUCUUGGAUUUAUGAAAGACGAACUUCUGCGAAAGCAUUUGUCAAGGAUGUUUUCAUUGA
rnacentral:rRNA from 1 species